GGGUGCAAUCAUAACAGCGUUAAUGCACCGGAUCGCAUCAGAACUCCGCAGUUAAGCGCGCUUGGGCUGGAGUAGUACUGGGAUGGGUGACCUCCCGGAAAGUCCUAGUGUUGCACCCUC
rnacentral:rRNA from 1 species